GGAAUGACUCUCCUUAUUUUACAGAUGCUGAAACUGAGGCACUGAGACAUAAAAGCAGGAGCAUGAAUAUUCUAGAGCAAGUCACUGGUAGAACCUGGGAGCCUACAGUCUUAGAAUCUAACUGGACUGAAUCCAAUUGAGUUAGGAGCCAUCCACUUCCCUGAUGACUCAGUGGUAAAGAAUCUGGCUGCAAUACAAAAGACUCAAGAGACAUGGGUUCAAUCCCUGGGUCAGCAAGAUCCCCUGGAUGAGGGCACGGCCACCCACUCCAGUAUUCUUGCCUGGAGAAUCCCAUGGAUAGAGGAGCCUAGUGGACUCAGUCCAUGGGGUUGCAAAGAGUCAACUUAUCAUGCACACACAUACUGAGGACACAGAUGUUAAUGAGAGCUCUUGUCAACCAGAUCCCAGAAAUGAAUAAGAGGGAAAUUUAUUGGAGAACUUUAUUUGGACUGGAGGACCCAUUUGUGCUGUCUCUGGCAGAAGAAUACACUUCAUCAAACGUGUCUGCAGGUUGUCAAACUCAGGGAGGUUUGGGGACCCUCUGAGGCUGUCAUGGUCAACAAGAAGAUUUUCUGUCGGGCUUUGCCAUCACUCACCCUGAGGAAAUAAUCACUCACUACAUUCUGCAUGUUCUCAUGAUAGAGCUCUCCAUUUGAGAGAAAAGAGCCAUUUUAUCAAAGGACAAUAUAGCCCUUCUCUGGGUCCAUGUAGCUUCCAUUAUCAGACCAUAAUAAAUCAUAUUUAUGUUCUCAGUUAAUAAGACUGAUUACAACGCAGGUUUCAGACGUGGGAAAAGCAAAGCAGGUUGAAAAGAUGUUUUAAUGAAAAUAUGAUAAGAAAACAGCUUCUUGUGAACAUUCAGUGCUCUUAUUUGUAAUGAUUACAGACAAUUUUUGAUGCAUGUUUAGCAAUGGUUUAAGCUGCAUAAAUUGGCUCACUGGUAGAUAAGUAAAAAUAAUAAGGAAAAAAAAUCAUGAAAUCAUCUUAUGUUGUCUAGAAUCAUUAUGUACAUAACAAGUGCAAAAUGAGUCUAAUGUAUAUGCUGGGGAUGGAGGGAAAACAGAUUGCUCAGGAAAAGCAUGGUUUGGGUAUUAUUCAAAAUGAUUUAGAAAUUUUCUCCUCAUCUCACUUAUUAAAGUUGUGUGUGCUCUGAAAUUUGGGGGUGCCAGAUAUUAAUUUCAUCUUGUAAAUGAAUCAACUCUACCUCUUUUAUUCAAUCUCAAUGUUGUUUUUCCCUUUCUUUCUUUUUUUUCCCCUCCAUGGAGCUCAAUACAGAGACAUAUAUUUCCUACCCAAUGUUUGGACACAAUUGCCAUUAGUGCUAAUGGGAGUUAAGUGCCUACUUGGGAGGAAAACAGAACCCAAAGUUUAAUAUUGAAAAGUAUCUUAUUAAAAAGGUCUGGACAUUUUUAGCUUCAGUGAGUUCAAU
rnacentral:lncRNA from 1 species